UACGUAGGGAGCAAGCGUUGUCCGGAAUCAUUGGGCGUAAAGCGCGCGUAGGCGGCCUCGUAAGUCCGUUGUGAAAGUCAAAGGCUCAACCUUUGAAAGCCGAUGGAUACUGUGAGGCUAGAGUCCGGAAGAGGCGAGUGGAAUUCCUGGUGUAGCGGUGAAAUGCGCAGAUAUCAGGAGGAACACCAAUGGCGAAGGCAGCACUCUGGGACGUGACUGACGCUGAGACGCGAAAGCGUGGGGAGCAAACAGG
rnacentral:rRNA from 1 species